UACGUAGGGUGCAAGCGUUGUCCGGAAUUAUUGGGCGUAAAGGGCUCGUAGGCGGUCCGUCACGUCGGGAGUGAAAUCCUGGGGCUUAACCCCAGAACUGCUUCCGAUACGGGCAGACUAGAGGUAGGUAGGGGAGAAUGGAAUUCCUGGUGUAGCGGUGAAAUGCGUAGAUAUCAGGAGGAACACCGGUGGUGUAGACGGCUCUCUGGACCGUAACUGACGCUGAGACACGAAAGCGUGGGUAGCAAACAGG
rnacentral:rRNA from 1 species